GUUCUGAUAGCUUAACACUAGUGCAAAGCAUUGGUCUUGUAAACCAAAAACGGGGACCCGCCCCUCAGAUCA
rnacentral:tRNA from 1 species